rnacentral:rRNA from 1 species
UACGUAGGGCGCAAGCGUUGUCCGGAAUUAUUGGGCGUAAAGAGCUCGUAGGUGGUUUGUUACGUCUGCUGUGAAAACCUAGGGCUUAACCCUGGGCUUGCAGUGGAUACGGGCAGGCUGGAGUUCGGUAGGGGAGACUGGAAUUCCUGGUGUAGCGGUGAAAUGCGCAGAUAUCAGGAGGAACACCGGUGGCGAAGGCGGGUCUCUGGGCCGAUACUGACGCUGAGGAGCGAAAGCGUGGGGAGCGAACAGG